rnacentral:rRNA from 1 species
UUCGGAAAUGGAUUAGCGGCGAACGGGUGAGGAACACGUGAAGAAUCUGCCCUCCACUUUGGGAUAACACCGGGAAACCGGUGCCAAUACCGAAUAUUGAAACAUAAGUGGCAUCACUGAGUUUUGAAAGAAUUUCGGUGGAGGAUGACUUCGCGGCCUAUCAGCUAGUUGGUGAGGUAAUGGCUCACCAAGGCAACGACGGGUAGCCGGCCUGAGAGGGCGACCGGCCACACUGGGACUGAGACACGGCCCAGACUCCUACGGGAGGCAGCAGUGGGGAAUAUUGGGCAAUGGAGGAAACUCUGACCCAGCGACGCCGCGUGCGGGAUGAAGGCCUUCGGGUUGUAAACCGCUUUCAGUAGGGAAGAAGCGAAAGUGACGGUACCUACAAAAGAAGCACCGGCUAACUAUGUGCCAGCAGCCGCGGUAAUACAUAGGGUGCAAGCGUUGUCCGGAAUUAUUGGGCGUAAAGAGCUCGUAGGUCGUUUGUUACGUCGGAUGUGAAAACCUGAGGCUCAACCUCAGGCCUGCAUUCGAUACGGGCAAACUAGAGUUUGGUAGGGGAGACUGGAAUUCCUGGUGUAGCGGUGGAAUGCGCAGAUAUCAGGAGGAACACCAAUGGCGAAGGCAGGUCUCUGGGCCAAUACUGACACUGAGGAGCGAAAGUCUGGGGAGCGAACAGGAUUAGAUACCCUGGUAG